AGCUCUGUGCAGGAAAGAUGAGCUGGCCCUGCACUAGCUUCACCUCAGGACACCCCAGCACCGGCAUUGCCACAGAGUUUCGGAAAAUGGUCACAGAAAAGCACAGCUCAGCCUUCCCUAGGCUCUAGGGAGAUGUCCCUGGGUUGAGUUCCAGAAUAAAUUCUACAGCGGGACCGGUUUCAAGUUCUUACCCUUCUCCUUCGAGCAUAUUCGGGAAGGGAAGUUUGAAGAGUGAGUCCCUGUGAGGGCCGUGUGCCCCAUGCUACCCUCCCCGCCUCCCUCCACAGUGAUCAGCUGUGCCUCUCUGCCUGUUGGUUGUGAUCUGUGGGCACCAGCUCAUUCGUGUCACCCUGUCUGUGAGUCAUUUAGAUAGAAUAGUCCUCCUUGGGUCUCCCACCACCCCUAGCUUUGUGUGUAGUGUAGUGAUUUUCUGGCUGUCACUCAUACUCACUGGGCACCAGCCUUGCCCUCUUAGCCUCCAUCCAUCCAGACAGCCCUUCCCACCUCCUGGUGGUGAGCCAGUCUGCAUUCCCACGCCAUCCCAAAGCCCUUUCAUCUUCCCCGUGCAUUGUAGAUGGAAGGAGCACCCAUGCCAUUCACAUCUAGACUUUGAGUUCCCUGCAUCUGCCACCGUAGUUUCUAGCAGGAGUAGUGGGGGGAGUAAUACAGAUUCUUCCCUAGAAGGGGACACUGGUAACAUGUCCCACUCUUGGAUUAGCAGGGGUGGGUCCAGGAAGAUGAUAUUUGCGUCUUUUGCCCACCCCCCUGGCAUUCAGCUGGACCCAACUAGGCCAUCAUGAGUGGCUUCUCCCUGUCAUCCCCAGGGGUCAUAGGAUAUCUACACCGCCUUUCUGACCCCACCCUGCACUCCCAUCCUUUCCUCUCUCCCCGUUCAUGCCCUGCACUACAUAGCACAGCCGGGAUGCUUGGAACAGAGGCCUUGGCUGCUCCGCAGUGCACAGGGCUUCCCUCUCUCGGGGUUGGCUUCUUCCCAGGCCUUGCAUGGGCCCUGCCCACAAGCACACCCUCAGGCCGAGGGUGCAGACUGAUGCUCUUCCCUGAUGGAGACCCUGAGAUCUUCCCCACCCCCAAUCAUGAUGUCUUCAGUGUGGGACUGGGGUCCUCUUGGUUCUGCCUGCAGCCUGCCUGGCUCCGCCCCUAGUGCCCCCUCCUCACCACACUGGCCCCAGGUCUCAGGAGGGGUGUCCUGGGCAGGGAAGGUCAGUGUCACUGAUGGUUUGCUGUUUGGAAGCCAUUGGCAGGGCUGCCGUGCAUGUGGCUGUGAGGGCUGCACAGUCCUGCCAAGGGGCUUCCUCCUUGUCACCCCGAACCUUGUAAUCGUGUGCUGGCGUGGCAGCCCUGGCUAAGUUAAUCCCCACCGCUUUCAGUGGUAGAAAGAAUUCCCUGAGUGGGCCAGGCUGGUGCCCUCCUCCUACCCUGGCUUUUCUGAGUGAGCUGCCUGGAGCCCUCAUCCCCUCUCCCAGGCUGGGCUGGCCCUGGGCGGGGCCACUGUGUGCUGGCCCACUGUGACCUGACCCGACCUUGUGCAGCCCCCCUGCCCUGGUGUCCUGGGUUUUCGUGAUGAUCUUUGCUCUGUUUCCAGUGGGGUUUGAAGCAGAGUUCAGGGAACCCUGCCCAAGGUCCUCCUGUUCAGACAUUCCUAUGUUGAAUAAAGUAUGUUUGACUUCCCCGG
rnacentral:lncRNA from 1 species